rnacentral:sRNA from 1 species
UCUGAAAAACAAAAUAGCAAUAAGGGUUUUUAAUCAUUAAAGUUAGCAGAUAUUUAUAUAAAUUUCCAAUAAAGCUGUGAAGAAAUAGGAACACAUAUAUACUCUGUGUGUGUGUGUGUGUGUGUGUGUGUGUGUGUGUGUGUGUGUGAUGUGAUGCUGGGGAUUAAACCCAGGGCUUUGUGCAUGGGAGGCAAGCACUCUACCAAUUGAGCUAUAUCCCCCAGCCCCCUCAUAUUUACUCUUGAUAGAA